rnacentral:rRNA from 1 species
AACGAACGCUGGCGGCAGGCCUAACACAUGCAAGUCGAACGAGAAGCCCGGCUUCGGCCGGGUGGAAAGUGGCAGACGGGUGAGUAACGCGUGGGAACGUACCCUUUGGUUCGGAACAACUCCGGGAAACUGGAGCUAAUACCGGAUGUGCCCUUCGGGGGAAAGAUUUAUCGCCAAGGGAUCGGCCCGCGUCGGAUUAGCUUGUUGGUGGGGUAACGGCCUACCAAGGCUAUGAUCCGUAGCUGGUCUGAGAGGAUGAUCAGCCACACUGGGACUGAGACACGGCCCAGACUCCUACGGGAGGCAGCAGUGGGGAAUAUUGGACAAUGGGCGCAAGCCUGAUCCAGCCAUGCCGCGUGAGUGAUGAAGGCCCUAGGGUUGUAAAGCUCUUUCGCCAGGGACGAUAAUGACGGUACCUGGAUAAGAAGCCCCGGCUAACUUCGUGCCAGCCGCCGCCGUAACA